AACCGGAGAGCUGCCCCGCAGCUCACUGAUGUGCGUGCCACAAAGCUCAAGACCCGCUGGGUGCACAGGACUUGUUCGCAGCUUGCUGGCGCGUGCCAGUUACAGUGUUCAGAGAGCUGACCCGGCGCUGCCUCCUUGACACGAGCAGAGGAGAGCUGGCCUCCAGGACACAGAAGAAGUAAAGGAGAAGAGGUUUGUGUGGCAGGUGAAUGCAGCCGACGUGCCUGUGCUGGCAGCGUCAAGGAUCCCCUUGCUUUGAUAGAAAUGAGUGAAGUGUGACGUGUCACUGCGGUGAAAGCAGUCCAGGUUGCAGUUUGGUCCCAGCUGACACUAUUGUGCCGCGCAACAGCCUCCAGAAUAUCUGCCAUGGGACGAGACCUUUUGGCUGCAGGAGUCUGUCGCUGUUCAAGCAUGGCCCAGAUCCUUAGAUAAAGGUACCAGCUCAGUCUCUGUCGGAGACAGUUGUGGGCCAUGCAGAUGACUGCUGUGGAGCUGCCUGGCUGGUCUAGGAGUCUGGGGAGAGGAGUCAGAGAGGUCACCCAUGCUCGUUAUGUUCCUCUAAGUUCCCAGCCAAAUGUGCUGACAGAAGAAAUUGUUCCCAACAGUUCAAACUCUGCCGAGAUCCUCUAUCAAGGCUUGUUCCUACAGCCUGCACUGUCCACACUAUCGUCAAAGGGGGGAAAAGUGCUCUGCUUUGGGAUACCGAGCCAUCGCCGAGGUCUGUCCCAUGCAGCUGGUGGGCCCUGUGAAUGCACAGCCCCGCGUCACCUCUUCCGUCCUGCCCCUGGAGAGGUCUCUCAUCUUGUGAACCUUUGGGAACAAAGAAAGGAUCUGAAGGACAUCUGAUUCCAUGCCAUCCAAAUCUGGUAGCUGCUCACUGUUGGUGCAGAUAUGAAGAUGUGGUGCUUGUACGCCUCGGGACAUCACACCUAUGCUAGUAGAAGCACUAAUUGUGCAGCUGGCUGAGAGCAUGCAAGAAUGGCAGCACUGGUGGUGGAAGGGAAACCCAGAUCUCCCAAGUACCAGACCAGCAGCUCCUUCAAGGUGCACCCUUCUGCACAGUAUUUGCUCUGGUUGCUGUGUGAUGCUCAGUUCUUCUGUCCCUGAAGUAGAGCCUGUGCUGGGGCCAGUGCUGGCUGCAGCUGAUGGAGAAAGCCCCAGUGUUCUGGAGACAACAGUUCAGGAGCUGUCAUCCAGGUCUGGUGUACUCCAGAGCUCUGUGUCCCCCAGAGAACCUCCUGCCACCACUCCCCAUGGCCGAGGACUGGUGUCCUUACUGCAGCUGGGAUCUCUCACCAAGGGUUGAGGUGUGCUUGUUUCCGGGGCGGAGAUGGAGAGUGGGGCAGAUGCUACCAGCCGUCGGGGCGCGGCAUGAUGCACUUUUUCAGCCAAAGCUAGUGAUAGCCGUGACCUGAACAACCACAGGCAAAGGAAGAAGAGCAAAACCAACAGUUAUUUUCCAGCCAGCAUCUGCUAAAAUCCUGGUGCCCACUUCGUCCCUGCUCAGCGCACAGGAGCUGCAGGGAUUUGUGUGUAUUAUCCUUACAGGGGACCCUAGGCCACCAGGUCGGCUUCACAGAGGCUGCUGGGAAGUGCCUUGUCCCCAGCUAAGCUUCUUUCCCUGUUGGCACGUCGUAGGAGGAGGAUGAGAUUGGUGUUUUCUGCUGCACGAUGUCAGCUGAGGGAUGAGAACAGCGCACCAAGAGGAGGAGAGCUGCUGUGGGUGAAGACCAUCCCUUUCAAACGCGAAGCACAGCAAGUCCAAACCAGCAUGUUUCCCCCCUCUUCUUGGGGAUCAGACUGCAGUAGUGAAGAGACAUGGAGCCAGUCCCCGGUGCUAAACUACAAAACCACAGGUUUCAGCAAAGCCCUUCAAGCCAGUCCGUCCCCCAGCAGUGUCGCUGUCCCUCACUUUUGACUGAGGUCUGGAAAUAUCAGCAGGGGCUGGCCGUUGCCUGUAUCCCACGUGUUGCCACUGUCCUGCUGGGUGACAUCAGGCAAGGGUUGUCAGGGCUCAGCAUGGCAGAUAUGAUCUUCCAAGCCCAGCAUCCCCAUUCGAUCUGAGGACACCCAUGGCACCAUGGUGGGCUUGACUCCACCAUGGCACAGGCUCCAGCAAUCCCAAAAGCAAUACGUUUGGUACUGCUGGUGCAUUAAGCCGGAGAAGCAUUUUGGUAAAAUCUACCUCAUUUUGAAAAGUGAGCAGGAUUUCCCUUUAAAAAUUAACUCUGUCUCCAGGUAAGUGGCUUCAGCCUGUCCUUCAGGAGCCUCUGUGAAGCCUCCCGAGAUGGUGCCUGCAUGGCUUUAACACUGUCUGUUCAGGUACCACCGAAUGGAUGCAAAAUACAGCAGCAAGAGCAUCCCCCCCUGCUCUGGCUGGGGGUGUUUGGGGCAGUGCUGGGGGAAUAGGGGCAGGUGGGCAUUCCUGGGGGCUCUGGAGGCUGCCAGAGAGCAGCGACCUACAAAAGUGUAAAAGAGAUGCAGCAUGAGGCGGCUGUUUUCUUACCCCCUUGUGCCAUGCCAAUGCUUUGGCAAAUGAGCCAAAAACAGCAUAGAUGCAAAACUGGGCUAGUCAACUGGGAUGAGCCUGACUUGUGAGUAAAGUUGGACUGGAAAAGUAAGGGGAAAAAAACUUUUCAGCCCAGGAGAACGAGAGGGAAAAGGAAUGGAAACUAGGACCUCUUGAGUUCAACUGUUCCUCCUAUUUCCUUGGGGCAGGGAGAGCUGCAGGGUGCAGAGAGCAGGUCAGAAAGCCCAAGGGCUGUUGUAGCUCAGUUGUGUCCUCUGAGAAAUAUCUUUUUGCUAUAAUAUAUGCAGCUCUUGCUGGAACAACUUCCUUGUCUCCAUCUGGAACCUGAGACAAAGGAAAGAAUUGUUUGUAAUGAGCUAUUUAUGGAGAAAUUCGUCUUGAUAUUUGCAUCACCACUACAAGAAGAGUCGGCGCCACAACUUUCCUACUGUGGUUAAGGACAGCUCUCAGCGGUCGGGAGCCUCCAGGUCCUGUGAGCAGUAAGAACAUGUCAGCAUUGUUUGUUUGCAGGAGGAGAGACCAAUUUGCAUUGCUGGAAACGGAAUGAUGUAGAGAACCACAAGAACCCGUCAUUCUGGUCAGGCCCUUGGAUUUUGUCAGGAUUUUUUGAAUACUCCUUCGCAGUUAAAACUCCCACUGGGUUGUCUUGCUGCUAGCAAAGCUGGUUGGGAUUGUGAAGGGGCAGGUAGGCUGGCAAGCAGGCUUUCCCCAAAGCAUCAAACUAGAUUCAAUUAGCCCACUUCAGCUGCAGGAACAUGGUUAGCUGGCAGCCAAGUCCCCAUAGAGGGGUUAGAUAACACACAGUGGCUUAGUCACACUGGAGAAGUAAAUGUCUCACAACUUGCUGAGACAAAUUUGUCCCUGUUUUAAUUAAAUGUGAGCUCCCAGAGUACCUAAAGCUCUACUGGUCUCUGGCUGCCCCUGCCCAUGCAUCAAUCCAGUUGUGCCAUUCAAGUCUCCAAAUCUUUGUCCUCACUUGCACCACAAGCAAGCUCUGUUUUCAUUCACCAUUGUUUCAGUGCCUGGUGGCUAGCUAGAGGGAUGAUAAUAAAAUAAGGAUUUUACUGCUUGGUACUCUGCAAUUAACUGGAAAACACAGAUUUUUUUUUUUUUUUUUUUUUUAUCCUAGCCUUCUUGAAAGCAAAGCAAUGGAUGCUCAGGUCCCAGGACUUCACCAGUAGAGUCAGAGCUUUUCCUUGGCCCCAAGGAUGGAGCAGGGACCACUUAGCAGGAGCUGCUAGUGUACUAGAUGCUGAAUGAAGAAGCCCUUGACACUUAAGGCAGUGUCCUGCCUUUGGUUUUUGCCCAGUUGUAAAAUCGGGUGCGGAGUGCAUGUGCCCAGAUACAGCACUUGUUUUCUCAAGUCCAUCUGGAUGGUGGAGCUGGCUGGGUGGGAGGCUGGUGCUGGUUGGACUGCACUGUCAUCCCUGGUGUCCCUGCACAAGCUGGGAUGUCAGAGCCAGGCCAGGGGUACCCAAAGCCAGUGCAGGCAGGGGCCAGUUAGCUCCAACACUCUCCCUUGACCCACUGGACAAACAGGGUAAGACCACACUUACCAGCACCAGACUUAGCACUUUUUCUCUGAUGGCAAAUGCACUGAAAAUCUUAAAAACGAUCUGCUUUUUAAUGUCAAUUGUGCUAAGAAGCUUUCAGGAUGUCAUGAUGUAUUUUGCUGGUUGGAAAAAGCACCACUGACAGUUGUUAAACAAUUAUGCUUAAUUUGCACCCAAAAAGUACACAAAAUCUAUAUCACAUAAACCACGCUAAAGAUAAUCGUUGUUUUUGUAUAAAGAUGUUCAGGGUUGCUUUAAAGAUUUGAGGUCUGAUGACCCUCCUGCUCAUUGCUCAAUACUUCUUACAUGUGUGAAAUGGAUGCAAGGCGCAGUCUGGUUGGGGUUACCUGUUCAUACUGGCAGCGGAGAGCUGCGGUUGCUCUGCAGGCAUGGAUGGGUCUGAACAUGCAUGGUACUAAAAGCCUGAAACUCAUAAAUACUCAUUCUCCAUUCCAGAGGCACUGGUCUGAACCUGACUGCAGACAGCCAGCUGCCAGCUAUGGGCCAUGAUGCUGGCCUUGCUGCGCGUCUGUGCCGACUUCUGCCUACUUGAUAGCAGAGUGAAGGCAAAGAGGGCCAGGAACAAGAGGAGGAGACGAGGAGCUUUAAUACAUGAUGUGAGUCCAGUCUACAAGCAGGAGGAGAGACAGCAAAGGGAUGGAAAGAUGCAGUUCUCGGUGUUUCUGUGCAGCAAGCUGCUCCUCACAAGCCAGAUUUUUAACUGAUGAUGCCUCCCAAUAGGCAGUGAGUGCUUGUUUAAAAUAAAGCUUGACAAAUGGCAUGUUGGGGGCGUCAGGUCCUAGAGCACUGUCUUCCAAAAACUAUGAAAAAGGCACCAGAGGGGAGCCUGGUACAGCCUCCUAGAUGACAGUAAUUAAAGGCUUUUGCGCUCAGGCACUGGGAGCUGCUCCUCUUGCAAAUUGGCAUUGAUUGGAGAGGAAGAGAAUGAUUAGAUUGGAGGAGAGUGAUGGGGGCGUCAGGAGAAAACACAGAGGUUUGUCUUUUCUACGACUGGUGAGCAGGAAAAACGUCCCCUCGGGCUGCCCCAGCUGGGUCCUUGUUGCGGUCCCUGCAAAUGGACCCCAGAUGGCUGGGACCUCCAAGCCAAGGAACUGAGCCAAAACCAAACUGAGAGAGCCCCUGGCUGCUGAGUCUGGAGCAUUAAUGCUCAGGAACCCAGCAGUGGUUACUGGGGAGUCCCUGCGCAGAAGAAGCUGGGCGACGCCAGGCAAGGCGUGGAGCUCCAGCCACAGCAAAAGUGGAUGAAAAGCUCAGAAACUGGGACUGGAAAUCCAUCCUGACAUUUCAAAGCAAUCUUUCCUUGUUGGGCUGAGUUCCCAGAGCAAAGAGAAAUGGUGGUCGUGAGUAGAACACAUUUCCCUCAGCGUCACGGUGACCGUGUUUGGCUCCCGGAGGACAACCCUCUCUUGCCUCCAGGGGAGUGCAGAGAGCAGCAGCACCAGGUCGUAUCUUGAGUCGUGAUGCUGUCCCUCCUGACGCCCCUUCCCAUCAACUACAUGAGACGAGCUCUCCUUUUAUGCUCAAAAAAUGGACUGGAUCAAGGUUUUCACUGCUAUUCCUGCCAUUCCAGAGUGCAUUAAGGUAUGAGUCAUCACUGCUAAUUAUCUCCAUAAGCACCUCUGUGGCACAAAUUAUACCUCCCAGCCAGCUGCAGUGGGAAGUUGCUUCUGCCUGGUGUUUCUCAGCGUGACUUUGUGGAGCAGAAGGCAGGAACCCCGCAUUGCCUGCUGGCACUGACUGCCAGCAGUGGUGGCCUCAAAGGAGACGAUGGGAAGAGCUGGGUGCUCACCACCCUCUUUUGACCAAGCCCAACCAAAAGGAACAGAGUAUGGAGCCCUAAUCCUGGUGCCUGGUUGGUCAUUUGAGUUCAGGAUGACUUGGGAAACAUGGAAGCCAAAGUCCUCCGGCUCCCCUAGAGUCUUAAGCAAAUUUUCCUCUCCCCUUUUGGUGCACUCUUGAUUUGCUCUGCAGCACAAAUGCUUCCACCCAACCUGGUUACUGCCCUUCACUCCUUCAUCCUCUUUGCCUACUGUGAAUAACAUGGCAAGGGUGACUGCUGCAGUUGUGCUCACACAUCUCGAGCAGGUGGAGCCAGAAAAGUUCUUGCAUACUGUAUCUGGGUGAAAACGUUAAAGAUUUGAUCAAAGUCAGCAAAAGUGUCCACCUGCCAGCUGUAACUGUGGGACCUGUGCUUCGAGGCAGUAACAUAGGUUUGGACAAGCACCCUCACGGUGACAUCCUGGUGAUGGCAAGUGACUUGAGAGCACUCCAUCGGAUGGGAAGGUGGAGGAGGUCUCCAAGGACUUUUCCUACACAAAAUUUGUGUCUUACAUCCCUUUUCUCUCCCAUAUUUUCAGCCUUGGCCUGCCUCAGCAUACUUCCCUUGCCUACCAGGACCCAAUGGUAUAUGUAGGGAUUUGCAUUUUGUGAGGAAAUACCUAUUGAAAUGUAGGAUGAUAUUAACUCCAUCUUCUUUGUGUUCCCCCAUGUUCCCAAGCUCUGUUCACCAUCCCCAACCCCUGAAACAGCUCCUCUGAAAGCAGAUAUGUCAGUCUUCGCUGCACAGGGAAUAUUUUAAGGCUCUGAAAACAAAGUUUAUUAUAGCAGAGCUGCCAAAAGUGUAACCACUGCCAUGCUAAAAUAUCCUCUGCCUCCUACAUUUGUAACGUGGGAGUCUUUUAUAUCCUCUUUACUGCUGCUGAACCAUGCAUUUGUCUUGGCAGCAGAUGUAUGCAGACUGGGGUCUAUUUCAGUGUCAUGCAAAAGAGCUCUUAGGCUAAAAGAUGUAUUACAGCUUACUGGAAGGCUUGAAAUUAACUGUACGAUGAUGCUGCAUGAAGAUAAAGAACCAGCAAUUUCAUUGAAUUGUGAUUUUAUCCAGAUGGGCUGGAAGAUCGAACAGCAUUGCCAUCUCCAAAGGUCUCCCUUUGCCAAAUUAACUGUUGAGUUGAGUGAGAGCCAUGAGGAAGAGACCUUGCUGAACCAAUUUUGGGAAAAGAUCUUCCUCCUUACCCGGUAUGUCACAGGAGAAAUACAGGUUUGGGGGAUGGAUUUGUAUUUUUUUUUCAUGCUUCACAUCUGAGCUCUUGGCACAGCAUCCCCUGCUUCUAAUUGCACCUUAUAACUGCAGUUUAAUUCAAAACCCGCCAGGCUGGCACAGUCGGAGCCAGUUUCUAUUAAAGCGCCCGAGCAGACUGGUUGCCCCCAGUCCUGUCCCCUGCUGCAAGCUGCUGGAUGCUGAAGUGUGACCCACAGUGGCACUGGGACACAGUAGCAGGAGAGGCAGCUUAAAAAUGCUUUGGCCACUUACAUGGUUGAAAAAGUUUAAAAAAAAUAAAAUUGCAAGAUAAGGCAGAA